AAACUGGCUAAUUAUUUCCUUUUAGACUACCUCAUGCUUAAAAAUUUGUUUUCCACUGACUGCAGAGAUGGACCGUAGUAUUGCCAGACAUCUGUUACCAUUCAGCUUGUUUUUUGUUUGUUUGUUUUUUAGAAAAGGCUACAACUCCACUAUUUAUGAAAAUCUUGCUUAGAGGAGGGGCCAAUCAGAAACAGUGCUGGUUCUUUGGAAAUUCAAUAUGUUUAUGAUGUCUCUGAUCAAUGUCAGAUAAUUAAGUCAUUUUCAAACAUUUCCCAUAAAUACCCAUGUAUCAAGUCAGUGAUGGCCCAUUGAUUUUGUCAUUCUGGAAGCUUCUUCCACUUAAUCAUAUCUGAGAUGGGAGUGAUAGCUGCUAUAGGCUGAGAACAAAGAAAUCCUCUAAACAUGGAAAUAAUUUGUGUCUGUCCAGUGCUGCCAAAUUAAUUAAAGUUCAUGUAUAUACAUAUGCCAUGACCUUAUUGGUAUACUGUUUCUAAGAAGUAGAAAAUCAUGGAAGCAUAGUCAUUUAGGUAGGAGAAGACCUUUAAGAUCUUCAAACAUGACCUACUGAGUCCUGUCACUAAACCAUUGCUCUUCCGUCCAAGUCUAUGCAUCUCUUAAAUAGCUCUAGUGAGAGGGUUGCCACCAGUACUCACAGUCCUAGAAACUAUGUUGUUGAAGCACAAUAGUAGCUUGUCUCCACACAUUAACUUCCUCAAGCUUUGCACUUCAUUAAGUAUCAAUGGUGAAUUUUAAUUUUGACUUUUUCUCCCUUGAUACCUUAGUUCAAUAGAAAGACAAAUGCAGUACUUUUCGUUGGUAAAAGACCAAGGGGAGAAACAGAAGCAACAUUGUUUAAUAAUUGAAGUAUAAAAGUGUAAUUCAGAAGCAGCAAGUACAUCAUCCACAGAGAUUGAAUUGUCUCCAGCAGAGAAGGCAGAAUUCCAUGCUGUCAUGCCCUCUUAUAACAAUGAAAGAAUGCACGUUAAUCUUGGUGAAGAACAGAGGUCUAAAUGUAAUCAAUGAGCAAGCAACAGCUGAUGGGGAGUUUCAAUCCUGCAUUUUUUAUUUUAUUUUCAAUUUUAUUUCAAAAACUAGAUUAGUAUUUUACUGCUUUUUUUUUUUUUUUUUUACUUCCAAAUGUGGCAAUUAAAAUGUAUGCAUUAAAAUACGAGCUAUCAUUGAUAUGUUUAGUGUAAAUAUAUGCCCAAAAGGCUGUUCUGAAAAUUCACGUUAAGUUAUCUGAAUGUGUAUCUUGGUAUAUAUCCCAGGCAUGAACAGGGAGAAGACAUUUGGAAGGAAAUCAGAUCCUCAUUUCUACAGCAAAUAAAAUCCCUCAUACAUCUUUAUCUCUACA
rnacentral:lncRNA from 1 species